rnacentral:rRNA from 1 species
UACGAAGGGGGCUAGCGUUGCUCGGAAUCACUGGGCGUAAAGGGUGCGUAGGCGGGUCUUUAAGUCGGGGGUGAAAUCCUGGAGCUCAACUCCAGAACUGCCCUUGAUACUGAAGAUCUUGAGUUCGGGAGAGGUGAGUGGAACUGCGAGUGUAGAGGUGAAAUUCGUAGAUAUUCGCAAGAACACCAGUGGCGAAGGCGGCUCACUGGCCCGAUACUGACGCUGAGGCACGAAAGCGUGGGGAGCAAACAGG